UACGGGGGGGGUAAGCGUUGUUCGGAAUUACUGGGCGUAAAGGGCUCGUAGGCGGCCAACUAAGUCAUACGUGAAAUCCCUCAGCUUAACUGGGGAACUGCGUGUGAUACUGGAUGGCUUGGAUUUGGGAGAGGGAUGCGGAAUUCCAGGUGUAGCGGUGAAAUGCGUAGAUAUCUGGAGGAACACCGGUGGCGAAGGCGGCAUCCUGGACCGGCAUUGACGCUGAUGAGCGAAAGCCAGGGGAGCAAACGGG
rnacentral:rRNA from 1 species